rnacentral:rRNA from 1 species
UACGUAGGGGGCAAGCGUUGUCCGGAAUUAUUGGGCGUAAAGAGCGCGUAGGCGGUCCGGUAAGUCGGUUGUGAAAGUCGGGGGGCUCAACCCUCGGAUGCCGAUCGAUACUGUCGGGCUAGAGUCCGGAAGAGGCGAGUGGAAUUCCUGGUGUAGCGGUGAAAUGCGCAGAUAUCAGGAAGAACACCAAUGGCGAAAAGCAGCUUUCUGGGACGGUACUGACGCUGAGACGCGAAAGCGUGGGGAGCGAACAGG